rnacentral:misc_RNA from 1 species
AGAAGAUCCAAUUUCCUCAGACGAGACGCAAUAGGAAAGAGAAUGGACAUCUCAUUUCUCCCUAAGUAUGUCAAGCCCAAUUGACAUAAUCUUGGAGGGAAGACUAGUGCGGCAUAUUUUCCGGAAUGCUCAUUAUAGCCAUUUUCAACAACAAGUUCUGGUUGGUCAUUAAAUGCGCCACCACCAAACUCCUCCAAUGCAGCCGCAGCUCUAAAGAAGCCAAGAAGAUUCGUAAUUUCACACUCGCUAAUUUUCAUAGAGACUAGAGAUUUACAAUUUCUUGCUAUCAAUUCAAGAUCUUCAGCCCUAACUUGCAGAAGAUCUGUCAUGUAAAAGUUCAAAUUCUCAAGAACAGUGUUG